GACAGAGGUUGCAAACGUUGUUCGGAAUUACUGGGCAUAAAGCGCACGUAGGCGGUCCGUUAAGUCAUGUGUGAAAUCCCCCGGCUCAACCGGGGAAUUGCGCCUGAUACUGGCGGGCUAGAGGUCGAUAGGGGUGAGCGGAACUCCAGGUGGAGCGGUGAAAUGCGUAGAUAUCUGGAGGAACACCGGUGGCGAAGGCGGCAUCCUGGACCGACACUGACACUGAGGAGCGAAAGCCAGGGGAGCAAACGGG
rnacentral:rRNA from 1 species